GACAGAGGGUGCAAACGUUGUUCGGAAUUACUGGGCGUAAAGCGUGCGCAGGCGGUCUGUUAAGACCGAUGUGAAAUCCCCGGGCUUAACCUGGGAACUGCAUUGGUGACUGGCAGGCUUUGAGUGUGGCAGAGGGAGGUAGAAUUCCACGUGUAGCAGUGAAAUGCGUAGAUAUCAGGAGGAAUACCGAUGGCGAAGGCAGGUCUCUGGGCUAUAACUGACGCUCAUGCACGAAAGCGUGGGGAGCAAACAGG
rnacentral:rRNA from 1 species